rnacentral:rRNA from 1 species
AUUGAACGCUGGCGGCAGGCCUAACACAUGCAAGUCGAACGAGUGGCGGACGGGUGAGUAUUGUCUGGGAAACUGCCCGAUGGAGGGGGAUAACUACUGGAAACGGUCGCUAAUACCGCAACCCAUCGGGUGUGCCACGAUGGGAUUAGCUAGUAGGUGGGGUAACGGCUCACCUAGGCGACGAGCCCUAGCUGGUCUGAGAGGAUGACCAGCCACACUGGAACUGAGACACGGUCCAGACUCCUACGGGAGGCAGCAGUGGGGAAUAUUGCACAAUGGGCGCAAGCCUGAUGCAGCCAUGCCGCGUGUAUGAAGAAGGCCUUCGGGUUGUAAAGUACUUUCAGCGAGGAGGCGUUACUCGCAGAAGAAGCACCGGCUAACUCCGUGCCAGCAGCCGCGGUAAUUC